CUAAUAAGCAACACUGAUCAACUGAAGCAGGUCCAGAGAAGCAAGCCGAAAGGUUUGCAUCUUGGUGGUUUAGGAUUGGCCUUCACAGUGCUGUCUCCCCUUCCAUUCCUUGCUCAGAUUACUUCCUCAGUUUGCUCGUGUGGUGCCCUCCAUCAGCAGAGACAAGCUUUCCACGAGGAACCAAGAUUUCCACCCUGUGAGCUCUGAGAGGACAGCUGGCCAUCCUCGGGGCAGAUGCUUCAAGGAGCCACCAAUCAAGGCUCCAUUUCCUGAACUUUCCUAGGAAGUUGAGCCCUGAGUAGCUGUUCUCGUCUACAGGUGAGACUGAAGGCCCAGGAUGUUGGAGUACCUGCCCGAGAUGAGCUGGGCGGAGCGCGUCAGGGCAGUGCCCGAGCACAGAAUCCUGCUCCGACCAGGGACGUGCAUGCAAACUUCGUAAACAUGUGCAAGCUCGUCUGUCGAGGGUGGAGAAUGUGUGGAUUCAGCACGAGGUUCCCCUGGAGACACGUGCAUGUAAAAAAAGAAUGACUAUUUGGAUGGAACGAGUCAAGCCGGUGAAGGUGGCGUGAGGAUGCUUGACGGGUUGGUGGGGAGGUGGAGACCCGUGGAGUCUGAGCAGGGGCAGGAAGGCCGGUCGUCCAUGGGACAGCCAGCCAGCUGUGUUCCUCUUCUUUUAAAAUCUGUUGCUUUUCCAAAAGAUCUCCUAAUAAGGGGUAAGAAUCCCAAAUGUGAAAAAUGUGAACCCAUAGCAAAAAAUGACCUUUCUUAAAAUUUCCAAAAUAAAGCUUUCCUUCCUCCGCCCUCCUCCUCUCUCUUCUUCUCCCCGUCCUCCUCUUCCUUUCCUUUUCUUCUUCCUCCUCCUCUUCCUCCUCCCCCUCCUCUUUUUCUUCAAUAAAAUGUUAUUUCUG